rnacentral:rRNA from 1 species
AGUAACGGCGAGUGAAGCGGCAACAGCUCAAAUUUGAAAUCUGGCUCUUUCAGGGUCCGAGUUGUAAUUUGCAGAGGGCGCUUUGGCGUUGGCAGCGGUCCAAGUUCUUUGGAACAGGACGUCACAGAGGGUGAGAAUCCCGUACGUGGUCGCUAGCCUUCGCCGUGUAAAGCCCCUUCGACGAGUCGAGUUGUUUGGGAAUGCAGCUCUAAAUGGGAGGUAAAUUUCUUCUAAAGCUAAAUACUGGCCAGAGACCGAUAGCGCACAAGUAGAGUGAUCGAAAGAUGAAAAGCACUUUGGAAAGAGAGUCAAAUAGCACGUGAAAUUGUUGAAAGGGAAGCGCUUGCAGCCAGACUUGCCUGUAGUUGCUUAUCCGGACUUUUGUCCGGUGCACUCUUCUGCGGGCAGGCCAGCAUCAGUCUAGGCGGUUGGAUAAAGGUCUCUGUCAUGUACCUCUCUUCGGGGAGGCCUUAUAGGGGAGACGACAUGCAACCAGCCUGGACUGAGGUCCGCGCAUCUGCUAGGAUGCUGGCGUAAUGGCUGUAAGCGGCCCGUCUUGAAACACGGACCAAGGAGUCUAACAUCUAUGCGAGUGUUUGGGUGUCAAGCCCAGACGCGUAAUGAAAGUGAACGGAGGUGGGAACCCUUUGGGUGCACCAUCGACCGAUCCUGAUGUCUUCGGAUGGAUUUGAGUAAGAGCAUGGCUGUUGGGACCCGAAAGAUGGUGAACUAUGCUUGAAUAGGGUGAAGCCAGAGGAAACUCUGGUGGAGGCUCGCAGCGGUUCUGACGUGCAAAUCGAUCGUCAAAUUUGGGCAUAGGGGCGAAAGACUAAUCGAACUAUCUAGUAGCUGGUUCCUGCCGAAGUUUCCCUCAGGAUAGCAGUAACGUAUUCAGUUUUAUGAGGUAAAGCGAAUGAUUAGAGGCCUGGGGGUUGAAACAACCUUCACCUAUUCUCAAACUUUAAAUAUGUAAGAAGUCCUUGUUACUUGAUUGAACGUGGACACUUGAAUGUACCGUUACUAGUGGGCCAUUUUUGGUAAGCAGAACUGGCGAUGCGGGAUGAACCGAACGCGGGGUUAAGGUGCCAGAAUAUACGCUCAUCAGACACCACAAAAGGUGUUAGUUCAUCUAGACAGCAGGACGGUGGCCAUGGAAGUCGGAAUCCGCUAAGGAGUGUGUAACAACUCACCUGCCGAAUGAACUAGCCCUGAAAAUGGAUGGCGCUCAAGCGUAUUACCCAUACCCCGCCGCCGGGGCAGAAUUUAUGCCCCGGCGAGUAGGCAGGCGUGGAGGCUCGUGACGAAGCU